rnacentral:siRNA from 1 species
CCACUAACUUGUGAUGUUGUCUU